AGGAUUUUAAGUUAUAUAAACUAAAGGCCUUCAAAGCCUAAAAAAAAGGAAUUUCUUUUAAAUCCUA
rnacentral:tRNA from 1 species